AGAGUUUGAUCCUGGCUCAGAUUGAACGCUGGCGGCAUGCUUUACACAUGCAAGUCGAACGGCAGCGGGGGCUUCGGCCUGCCGGCGAGUGGCGAACGGGUGAGUAAUGCAUCGGAACGUGCCCAGUCAUGGGGGAUAACUACGCGAAAGCGUAGCUAAUACCGCAUACGCCCUGAGGGGGAAAGCGGGGGAUCGCAAGACCUCGCGUGAUUGGAGCGGCCGAUGUCGGAUUAGCUAGUUGGUGGGGUAAAGGCCUACCAAGGCGACGAUCCGUAGCGGGUCUGAGAGAAUGAUCCGCCACACUGGGACUGAGACACGGCCCAGACUCCUACGGGAGGCAGCAGUGGGGAAUUUUGGACAAUGGGGGCAACCCUGAUCCAGCCAUGCCGCGUGAGUGAAGAAGGCCUUCGGGUUGUAAAGCUCUUUCAGACGGAAAGAAAUCG
rnacentral:rRNA from 1 species